UCAGACGAUGCGUCAUGCAUAUCAAUAAGCGGAGGAAAAGAAACUAACAAGGAUUCCCCUAGUAACGGCGAGUGAAGCGGGAAGAGCUCAAAUUUGAAAUCUUAAAGGGUUUCCCUUUACGAAUUGUAGUUUAAAGAAGUGUUUUCUGUUGAGGUUUUGGUAAAAGUUCUUUGGAAUAGGACAUCAUAGAGGGUGAGAAUCCCGUAUUUGACCUUUACUUUCAACUUUGUGAUACACUUUCAAAGAGUCGGAUUGUUUGGGAAUGCAGUCCAAAAUGGGUGGUAAAUUUCAUCUAAAGCUAAAUAUUGGCGAGAGACCGAUAGCGAACAAGUACCGUGAGGGAAAGAUGAAAAGAACUUUGAAAAGAGAGUUAAACAGUACGUGAAAUUGUCAAAAGGGAAGCGUUUGACACCAGUGUUGUUUUUCUGAAAAUCAAUUAAAGAACUGUUUAUGCUAAGUUGUUUAGACUUUAUCAGCUAUACUGCUUAGUUUUGAGCUUUUCUUUAAUGCACUUUUCAGUUAACAAGUCAACAUCAAUUUCUUUUGCUGUAAAAAAGCUUGAGGAAGGUGGCUUGAGAUUCGUCUUAAGUGUUUAUAGCCUCUUGCCUAUGCAGUCGGAGAGAUUGAGGUCUGCAGCGUAGAUCCUUCGGGGCUAAAUGCAUUUGUGCUAAGUUAUAGCAUUUUAUAGACAACUUGUUGACUAUGAUUUGUCUUGUAGCUUACUCGCUUAUGUUAUUUUACCUACGCUUAGGAUGUUGACACACGCGCGUGCUCG
rnacentral:rRNA from 1 species